AGACACAGAAUGGGGAGCUAAGAGAGAGACAAAAAACAUGCCCGCACAAGCACAGCCCUGAGACAGACUGUGGAACGCAGGAUCAUGAAAUAUACCAGGAAAGCGGUGAUUAUUCUGUCAUCUGAUGACUCUUGAGGAUCAUGGUUCUCUUGUUGCCCUCAUACUUUGCAUUCCUCUCUGACUAGACACCAGCCUGAGCCCUGCUGAGACAUUGUGAAUCCCUAGCUAACAGACCUCUGGGUGCUGGGCUCCUCACCCUGGAACAAAGUUCCAGAGACUGGUUGACUCAUAGAGAAGAAUUGUUUUGGCUCAUGUUUUUGAAGACUGGAAAAUCCCAGAGCUUGGAGCUGGCCUCUGUAAGGGACUUGGGCAUGGUGAGAAGACCAUAGGAAUGAUCUAACUGUAACAACCUGAAUAAACUCAUCCUUUCUAGCUCUUUCUGAACUCUUUCUGGCUGGCUGGUCAACUACAGCCGUUCUGGCUCAAAACUUCUCUCUACACUAACUGACUCAAUCUGGCUUCUGUCUCUCAGCUUGUCUUGAAUUGCCCUGCUUGGCCUCAUACUAACUUUUGCAAUAUAUUCUAACCUUCUGGCUCCUUUCAUCCUUUGGCUCUUUCUGUCUUCACGUGCACCUAGCUUGUUCUCUCUCUGUAACCUGUCUCUGUACAACUGUCCUGAUAAAACUGCCUCCGGUCUCUCUGUACUGCUUUCUGUUAAGUAGCUUCCCUUUCUUCUCUUGUGAGAGUUGGGCGUAUCCUAUUCUGUCAAAUCUUUCUCUGAUUCAUCACUUUGUCUGCCAUUCAGUUAGACAUGGAUUUAAAAAAUGUGUGCUUCUUUCUACAGACUAACUUUGUCAUCAUUGUUUCGGGUUAAAAGUGUGUACUAAGGGCUUGUCUGUACUCCAGCCAGAGAGAUUAAAGGUGUGUGUGCUAAGGGCUGAGCACAACAUAACU
rnacentral:lncRNA from 1 species